rnacentral:rRNA from 1 species
UCGAAUCUUUGAACGCACCUUGCACCUUUUGGUUAUUCCGAAAGGUACGCCUGUUUGAAUG